UCCCCGUUGAAGCGAGGCAGUCCGUCCAGAGUGCUCCCUGCUCUCGCAGAGAUAGCAACAGGACGCAAGGGUUGCGCUCGUUGCGGGACUUAACCCAACAUCUCACGACACGAGCUAACGACAGCCAUGCAGCACCUGUGCACGCUCCCCUUGCGGGGUCGUUCCGCUUUCACGGUCCUACCACGUGCAUGUCAAGGCCAGGUAAGGUUCUUCGCGUUGCAUCGAAUUAAGCCACAUACUCCACCGCUUGUGCAGGCCCCCGUCAAUUUCUUUGAGUUUUAAUCUUGCGACCGUACUUCCCAGGCGGCGCGUUUAUCGCGUUAGCUUCGCCACAAAAGGGGUCGAUUCCUUUUACAGCAAACGCGCACCGUUUACGGCUAGGACUAC
rnacentral:misc_RNA from 1 species